CGCCUGCUGGCGCGCGUCGACGCGCCGCUGAUGCUGGCGCUGAUGACGGUGAUGGCGGUCAGCCUGCUGGUGCAGGCCAGCGCCGGCGA
rnacentral:tRNA from 1 species